rnacentral:tRNA from 1 species
GCCUUGGUGGUGAAAUAUGGUAGACACGCGAGACUCAAAAUCUCGUGCUAAAGAGCGUGGAGGUUCGAGUCCUCUUCAAGGCA